CUCUAACAAGCAAAGUCUUGGACUAUGUGCACUAAAAUCAUGAUCCUGCCCAUUUGCAAUUACACGGAUAGUCUCAUCAAAGUCAGGGAGAUUACUCACGUGAGUGAAUUUAGGAAAGUGAGUUACUGAGUGGUCAGGUUUGUUCAGCCAGCUCAUAUUCAGCACUUCUGGGGAGAGCGCUCUAGUUGCGUGGGGACCCUACAACCAUUAAUUACAGGCAUGCGACAUGUAAUAAAAUCACUUUAAAGGGAAGAAUGACUGCAUUUCACACAAGCAUGUUUGAAGUGUUCACACCCAAAUGUAGUUGAAUGCCAGUAUACACACAGUUACACAUUCAAAUAAGAACUAGAUAUCUGUGAAUUUCUUUAAAUAGUUUUUUUUACACUUGAUCAUAGCCAGAAAAUCUAUCAGUACUCAAAGCAAGGUAACAUACAGACUCUCAAUGUGAUAGUCCUUCAGCCUGCCAAAUCUGUCCUAAACAACUAAUUAUAUUAAUUUUGACCUGAGAAUUCACAGGCUGAAUUUCUGUCUGCGACUGAUUAAAAUGCCUGAGUUAAAACUGUUGCAAGAAAAGAAAAGCUGUAAUGGAAACAGUGCCAUGACUACAGAUGAUAAUGAGAAAGAGAAUAAGUUGUGGUCCUGCACUGAAUGAAACGUGCAGAAUUUUCAACCAAAAAAAAUCACCUCCAGCUUUGACAGAGGGGAAAUAUGGCUCCG
rnacentral:lncRNA from 1 species